GGAUGUGAGGGCAAUCUGGCUACGGCAUCUGUCACCCCAUUGAUCACCAGGGUUGACUCGGCUGAUCCGGCUGCCUAGGAAUGUGUCCCCUUCCUCCCUCGUGGCUCCAUGUGUGUCCCUUCCAAAGCUGCUGCACUCAGUCAAAGAGGAUGACCUUCCCCAAUAGAGAAAGACCUUUCAGUCAAGGGUAUAUGAGUAGCUGCCUUCCCCUGCUACAACCUCCCAAUAAGCUCUCAGAAUAGAGGCAGCGGCACAUCAACAGGGGACAUGGGAGAUGCAGGGGUGCUGUCUGCCUCAGUUCAAUGUGCGAUAUAUGCGAUGUGAUGCAUUUUAU
ensembl:misc_RNA 7SK 7SK RNA